rnacentral:rRNA from 1 species
AGUGAACGCUGGCGGUAGGCCUAACACAUGCAAGUCGAACGGCAGCACAGUAAGAGCUUGCUCUUACGGGUGGCGAGUGGCGGACGGGUGAGGAAUACAUCGGAAUCUACUUUUUCGUGGGGAUAACGUAGGGAAACUUACGCUAAUACCGCAUACGACCUACGGGUGAAAGCAGGGGAUCUUCGGACCUUGCGCGAUUGAAUGAGCCGAUGUCGGAUUAGCUAGUUGGCGGGGUAAAGGCCCACCAAGGCGACGAUCCGUAGCUGGUCUGAGGGGAUGAUCAGCCACACUGGAACUGAGACACGGUCCAGACUCCUACGGGAGGCAGCAGUGGGGAAUAUUGGACAAUGGGCGCAAGCCUGAUCCAGCUAUACCGCGUGGGUGAAGAAGGCCUUCGGGUUGUAAAGCCCUUUUGUUGGGAAAGAAAAGCAGCAGGUUAAUACCCCGCUGUUCUGACGGUACCCAAAGAAUAAGCACCGGCUAACUUCGUG